UUUGAAAUGAAAUAAAGUCAGCUCCUCCCUGGCUCCGCCCCUACCUAGCUGUGGCCUGUGCAUCUCCACAGCCAGCCACGUUCCCCAGGUCUAGGAGGCAAUGUCCCCUCUCGCUCCCCCAGGGAGCUUUGAAAAGCAGAUUGCUGAGAUCCCAACAGGGAGAUCCACAUAGACCACAGGGAAGGUGGGAGGCAGCUUUCUUGAUAGUGGAUGGCAGGACAUUCUGGCAACUCAGAUACAGCUAGCAUGCUUGAGGCAAUAAACACAGAUCAAAGACGCUUCAGCAAGUGUCACCCACAUCCCACCAAGGAAGAGCCCCCUAUAUCUGAGUUCCAGCUGUUCCAGCUCUUGGAUGUGCUCAGCGAGGGAUUCUCUGUAUAGCCUUGGUUGUCCUGGAACUUACUCUGCAGACCAGGCUGGCCUCGAACCCACAGAGAUCCUUCUGUCUCUGUCUCACAAGAACUGGGAUUAAAAAUCUGCACCACGGCUCCCCAGCUUCCACUGCCUGUUUUUUUGUAUGAGUACCCUGUCUUCUGUCUUCAUGUCUGCCUGCACACCAGAAAAGGGCAUCAGAUACCAUCAAAGAUGGUUGUGAACCACCAUGUGGUUGCUGGGAAUUGAACCCAGGUCCUCUGGAAGAGCGGUCAGUGCUCUUAACCAAUGAACUGUCUCUCCGGUGCUCCUCCCACUCCUGUACAUGGAUGUAUUUUAAAAACACCUAAUCUAUGACUUUCUUUCUUUUGUUACUAUAAAAACUUCAUCAAAUUGUUACCCUGCUGGAACAUGGACUCUAGGGUAACCUAAGUCUGUGUUCCUGGGCCAUAACCACUCAUU
rnacentral:lncRNA from 1 species